UGUGUGUGUGUGUCCGUCUCUUUCUGUCACUUUCUUUGUGUCUCUCUUUCUCCCUUCUUCUUUUUUUAAACCGUUACCUUCCAGCUUAGAACUGAUACUAAGUAACCUUUCUCAGAUGGAAGAGCAGUUAGGGCAAGGUAAUUGGGGUUCAAUGACUUGGCCAGAGUCACGUGGCUAGGAAGUAUCUGAGAGUCACAUUUGAACCCAGGACCUCCCUAUUCUGGGAGAGUGAAGUUGUUGGAAAAGAGAUCUUUAUAAGAGAGAUCCUCUUCUGGGCAGACUGGGUAUAACAUAGGUCUGACUAAUAAAAAAGCCGAAAUAGCCCUGGGCAUAGGCUGUCUCCCAAGACAGAUCAUACACUUUUAAGAAGAUGUCCCAGAAGCGACAUAAGCCUCUAGGUCAAGAUCUGUCUUUUUCAAGAAAGUCACUCUUUCCUCAGUGGGAAAUCACCCAGAUUCUAUUUAAUAUUUGGGUUUGAGUGAAUAAAUUCUUCCAAUACCCAUCAGCGCCCUGGAAACUAGCAUCAGCCAAGCAAACUAGGAGCAUCCAAACGCUUGGACUAGCACUUAGCAACCCUGGAGCAGGGGACUUUUGUCCUAGGUUCCUUAGGCUAUGCUCAGACCACUGUCCUGACAGGAGGAUCCCUGAAUUAGGCAGAGCAAGUCAUUCAGGGGUUGUGCACCCUAAGCAUUAGAACUUGGACUGAUAGUCCCAUGGCUUAUCAGCAGCCUGCGCUCCAAGCCCUCUGUUCAUUCCACUACCCCAAGCUGCCUCUCACUGCCAGCAGCAAAUGGAACAGAAAAGGCCAUGCACACAUCCAAGUCAAAUCUUGUUCUUUGUAUGCAGCCUAAAUAGACUGCACUGUUUGGUGGUGAUUGAAAUAAAGAAAAAUAGAAUCGUUGACACAUUGGAUUGGAAUAGGUAAUAUAUCAUUCUAACUAGAAAAAGAAGGAGAGGAGACGACUUACUUGCUCACUAUUGUUGCAGUUCAGUCAUGUUGUGGAAUUACCCACUUCACACAGUGUCUGACUCUUCAUGACCCCAUUUGGGGUUUUUCUUGGCAAAGACACUGGAGUGGUUCACCAUUUUCCUGCUCCUGCUCAUUUUACAGAAGAAGAGAUUGAGGCAAACAGGGUGAAGUGAUUUAUCCGAGGUCACGCAUUGGGUGAGGCAAGAUUUGAACUGAGGUCUUCCUGAGUCUAAGUCCAGCACUCUGUCACCUUGCUGCCCUAUUUGUCUAUAGAUGUAGCCUAAAAACAUAGGUACAAAGAGUGACAAUACGUACUAAACUAUGUAUGAUUUGUGAGCCAAAUCUAGAGGUGAGCAAGCGUAUGGCAGCAGACAGGGUGGGCUAUCUACCUCUCUCUAACCUCUCACCUUGGAGGGACACCUUACUUGGUUUGAUUCCCUUGGCUUCAAGAGAUCUCAUCAUGGCUUCCAACCAGGAACAUAUAUAGGUAGAGAAUUAACACUGAAAAUAAUGCCAGAAGGAUCAUCACAUCCCCACCCAACAUUCCAGUUUUCAAGCAGAGAGUCUUCUACCCAUAAGCUAGCAGAGAUUGCCUGGGAGACUUCAAGCAGAUUAAGGAAAAAGGAAAACUCCAGAAUCAAUGUAGUAACAAAUAUUUAUUCAGUACCUUCUGAAAGUAAGCCCCUUCCCUGUGAUGCUAGACUAGUGGGAGAUGUUGAAAAAUAGUCUUUGCUCUCCAGAAGCUUGUGCUCCAUUUGGAGGAACAAGACACAUACAGAUGAAACCAUAACUGAUGGUACAGGCUGGAAUAUGCCAAACAAGCAGCACAUUACAUCUGUUGUAGUCGGAGGCUUGGCUGUUGUCUAAUUUGACUGAUGGGAAGAAUGAUGAAGGAAUAGCUGAAAGGGAAGCCAAACAAAAUAGGCACACGUUUUUUCAAGUUACUUUCCAGUAGUUACAUAGUCAAUGGAAAAAGACACCCCACCUUUAAAAGGACCUGAUAAUAUGUGGUUUACAAAAGUAACCACUAAAUAAAAGUGGCUGACUGGUAUGAAGGCGUAAGCAUCUGGGUUCUAAAUGAGGUCCUGACACUGGCGAGCUGUGUGACUUUGAAAAAAACAACUUCUCUGAGUCUUGGUUUCUGCAUCUCCAAAAUAGUGACGCAUGGCAAAAUGGUAGAGGAGGUAGCCUAUGGGAUCAGGAAGACUUUGACACAUACAAGCUGUGCAAUCAUGAGAAAGUCAUCUGAUCUCUCGGUAUCCCUGGGACUCUAUGCUUAGUUGUUGAAUAGUGUUGGCAAAGGGAAUGUCCAUACCAGGAAUUCCUCACACUGAUGAAGUUGUCAGUCUGGACUCUUCUGUCUCCUGACAAUGGAAAUAAUAUUACCUGCCCAGUUAACUCAUAGGAUUAUGAAAAACAAAUGGCUAAAUGUGUUGGGAAAGUCCUCUACAACCUUCAAGUGCUAUAGAGAUAAAAGCUUUGAGCAUUUCCUUAUUCUGACUUGCUUUACACAGGAAGAAAAAAGAGCAAGGAAGCCAAAUUUGCUACUGGGCAGUUGGUUGUCGGAGUCUUUUUUUCCUCUCUGUGUCUCCUGGAGAAGCAUCUUCCUGCAGGAAUAGGAAUGAAGCUCUGAGAUAGGGAAUUGGGCGUGAAGAAAUAAAGAAGACCAGAUGAUGCAUGAAGGGCAUGAGUUUAUUGGAGGGAAUUGUACCAUUCUGAUUAUGGUGACCAGCAUACAUGUUAUCAUGGCUUUUCUCUCAGGCAUCACCAUUUCAGGAUAUUUGCCUGCUGAAAUGGUGUUAGAGGCCCAAGAUUGUUAGAGAAAUGAAGAUCUUCUCUUUUUAAAUGGAAAUGAAGAAUAGUUCUGGUCUUCUAUGCCACAAUACUAAAUUAGUUUAAUUCCUUUAUGAGCCACUGGAAUUGUAAUAUAAUGUGCUUGUUAAAAACAAAAGCUUCCUUGUAACAA